AUUGAACGCUGGCGGCAGGCCUAACACAUGCAAGUCGAACGAGGGGCGGAGGGGUGAGUAAUAUCGGGGAAACUGCCCGAUGGAGGGGGAUAACUAGUGAAAAGGGUCGCAUAUACCGCAUAACAUCAUGUGUGCCCAGAUGGGAUUAGCUAGUGGGUGGGGUAACGGCUCACCUAGGCGACGAUCCCUAGCUGGUCUGAGAGGAUGACCAGCCACACUGGAACUGAGACACGGUCCAGACUCCUACGGGAGGCAGCAGUGGGGAAUAUUGCACAAUGGGCGCAAGCCUGAUGCAGCCAUGCCGCGUGUAUGAAGAAGGCCUUCGGGUUGUAAAGUACUUUCAGCGAGGAGGCGUUACUCGCAGAAGAAGCACCGGCUAACUCCGUGCCAGCAGCCGCGGUAAUAC
rnacentral:rRNA from 1 species